rnacentral:misc_RNA from 1 species
UAAAUAAAAAAGGAGCUAAAAGCCAAAAUUUAUUAAUUGUUUUAAAUAUAAAAUUGGCACCAACAGCUGUAGAAAGUUGCGAUUGCCAUGAUAGGUUUUUAAUACAAAAAGGUUCAAGCUGUAAACAAUUCCUGUAACCCUAACACCUAAAUAUUUUGAGCUUGAACAAUGCAAAAGAAAAUAUAAUGAUACAUGAAAGAAUAAAAAUGAAAUAAAACAAAAAAGAAAUUGCCAUUCAGGCUAACAAAUGUGUGAAUGGGAAUCAUCAAACUUCCUGAUAGAAUUUAUCGAAUAUCAAAGCUAUGUAAACUAUAGAGAAAAAAAAUGUGAUAAAAUAAAAAUAAGCACCAUGCUAAGAAUUUCACAGGAAAGUCAUAUAUGCUAGAUCAUUCUGAAGCUAUAAUCAAUGCCGAGGUUUAUGCAGACGAGGCCGAUUGCAGAAAAUCCUUCCAUUCGCCCUCACAAAUGCUGCAAUAGCAACAGUAAGGCUUGCCCAUAUAGCUGAGAAGAAUAAGUGCCGAAGAUCAUAUCGAACUGCAAAAAAGAUGGGUAAAGAUGCAAAAAAGAGGAUAGUCAAUUACCAGCCAAAAAAAGUUGUAGACAUGUGGUUAUAAUAGUACCAAGCACCUUAAUUUUCCUUCAAUCCAAGGCCAACAACAAUCUUUUUCUUGAUUGGGUGAGGUAAUGACCAAAAGACUAAAAGGCACUAUUUGCUUCUCGGAGUGGCUAGACUAUUUCCUAACUAUUAACCAAGGUAUUCUUAUCAUUAUAAUGCAUACACACACAGGAAGGGAUUUGUUUACACAUAUUUAUACAAAUUUUUCAACAGUAUGAAAAUGUUUGAACUUUUAAUAAUUGAGCAUUACAGAAACAGCAUCUUUGCAAAAUAGGGGAAGGAACUGGAGACUACAAAUUUCAGAGAAUCUCUCUCCCCUCUCUCUGCCUCACCCCAUCAUUCUGUGUAGGUGCACUUACAAACAUAUUUACAUGUACAGGCACACAUAUGCAUGUGGAUGUUAAAGAUCUUUUAUUUUGUCACAAAGCAAGACAGUGUAUUUUUUUCCUUUUGUUGAUCAUUCACUCCACAUUGUUCAUUAGAUGUCCUCACACACAAUAACAAUGUCACUAUGGUAAUAUACUGAAAAGAAAAAGCGAGAUGAAUGGAAAAUCAACAUUCACAAAUUUUAAUCCCACAUGUAAGUGCAUCCUGUCCAUUCACAAUUAUAGGUGAAGAUCAUAUAAGAGAACCUUUAUCAGCCUUGAAGUCAAAUGUCAAACAAGCUAUUUUAUCCAAUUAUUAAGCUUCUUGAAGCUGCAAUAAUAGAAUUCCAUCUAUAUGUACACGUGAUUUAAUAAAGUUGGUCUCUGGCCCUGCAAUCUCCAACUCACCUUGCCGGAGUGACAUCACAGAAAAAAAGAACCCAGUCAAGACCAAUGAUAAAGCAAGCGGAAAAGAAGCCAUACUCUCGAGGCCUCCUGUUUGAGAUGGAGGGGUCAUAUCUCGGCUUACAGAAACGAUGUAAUGUCCAUGUAAGAGAUCAAUUGCAUCCUGUUUUACACCAUCAGAGAAGUUAUUGAAAUAAUAGCGAGCAAGUGCAUUCCAACCGUCUUUAAGGAUCCCUUGGGCUGUCCUCUGGCCACAUCUUACAAAAUCUCCUUUUAAAGCAGGAGUUCCAGAAUAUUGAAUGCUUAUGUCAUCCCCAUGAUUGGCCCACAAUAUUUUAAAGCUUUCAUCAAAAUUUGGAUGUGAGCUAAUUUUUUCUUCUGCACCAAAAGCUCCAAUCCUUCUAAGUUGGAUUUCUAACAUUCUUCGACCAAUCAUGCUCUGCUCCAUAUGUAAACAUGGUUAUAAGAAGCAAAUAAUCUAUGUGAGUGUGUGUGUGCACGCGCAUGGAAAAAUUGCAGCUCGACGUUCUGGAAGUCCAAGAGAAUCAUACUUCUAAUUUCCAAAACAUAUGCCACUUAUAUGUUUUGACUUCAAACAAAACCAGAAGGAACGGUACUAUGUCUUUGAAAUUAAACUACCUGGGUAACAUUUGUACGGUCUAAGCAAUCAAUGCAGUUGGUCCUUACAACCCCAAUUUGCUCCUUUAUUUUCUCAUCCUUUUCAUUCAAAAAAAGGUACCCACUUUUCUCAAGGAAAUCUGCAAUUUGGUCAUAAAGGAUAGAAAGGCGCUCAAAGUGAAUAUGCCCACAGAUUUUGUGAAAAUCGAAGUGCAGAUAUCUUACAUCAUCACUAAUGAUGUGCUGCAUUGCACUGGCAAAUUUUUCGCUUAAGCGUCCCUCACCUCCAUGCUUAUUGACAAGGUCAACUGCUAAUACAAACCCAUAUUUCUUUCUCAAAUCCAGAAAAUGCCGCUCCGCUACUUGAGGAGCAUCCUCAGGUUUGACAAUCUCAAACUUGGGCUUAUAUGUCAAUUUGACAAUCUGCUCCCAAAGAAAUGGCAUUGAACCCCGAACCUAAACAAGGCAAUAAAAAGAAGAAAUAAUAUGAGAAAAUUGAGAAGUAAAUCCAUCUGUCACAACAAUGUGCAACUUAAGCUUCUAAAGCAUAUCCCAUCAAUACCAUAUAAAAGUUGUAAUAAUAAGAAUAUACCAUGUAAAAAGAAUGCCAAGCAUCAGAAUACACCCUUAUUCAAUCUAUUGAUGACAUUCAUUUACCCUCAAUGCCUGGUUCAGAAUCUUUAUGCCACACUGCUCUUUCCUUUUAGCAUUUAGGACCCUCGGUUCAUAAUCAGUAUUCUAAUUUGAAGAAGCUCAUAAUAAUACAAUGAAUCCGUUCCAAGAGUUUAAUCAUGUGCAGAAAUAUAUGCAUAAAAAUUUACCUGAACAAAUGAUGUUGUAAACCCGUUCAAAUGUACAAUUUGUUCAGAUUCUACAAAAUUGGCAACAUACCCAUCAGGAUCAGCUCCUCUUCUCCACAUGCGAGUGCCAUUUCUCCUUGUGCAUCUCCUAGCGAUCAGAGUAACUUCAAUUAUAUCUUUUCCAAUGGCUGCUUGGAAGUUCUGAAAGCUCCCUUGGACAACAGGAAGCAGAUAUGGAUCAAGCUUAUUAUCUAUGAGCACUUCUAACAUAUAAUUGUUCCAGAGAAACCUAGGUUCUGCCUGUCUCCAAAGUGGAAGUAAUUUAGAUUCAUCACCCAGAUCGUGCAAUCGCUGAGCACUCAGUGUUAAAUUGGUGUCAUAUGAGAAAUACAGACCACAAGUCCGCUCUGCAACACGAAGCAGCCCAGAGAAUUCAGUCUCCACCUUUUUCUGUUCUGCAGAGGAAUUUUUAAGAGAACGAUCACAAGGCAAAAUCUUCAAUGAUGAAAUUUUGAAGAUAGGAUGUCCCAAGUAUGAUCCAACACAUUCGCGUUCCAAUAUAACUAUUAAAUAUGACCCUGCCACAAGCUUAAGCAUCCCAACCACACCAAAAAUAGUCCUAAUUUUAGGAACACGAAGAGAGCUGCAUUCUGGAACUCCAUCAAUGAGUUUCAUGGAACCAUCAGCCCGACUAACAGCCAAAGGAGAACCAGAAGAUCCAUCCGUAGGUUCAAUUACAUACUCAUCUGGAAAUUCCCAGAGACGCAUACGUGUAUAUAGCUUCUGCGCCGACUCUGCCCUCUCCAUCAUUAUUAUUUUAUUAAUAAACCAAUUCCCUGAACCUUAUUAAAGAGAUCACACAGACGUGGAAAGUAUGAGAUCCAACGAAAGGAGAGGAUAAAAUCUACAGCUUUAGCUUUGAGAAUUGAAGAAUAAUUCUAAGAAAAAAAAUUUGGGUUUGAUCUCUUUCUGUUUGAAAAUAAGGGAAGUGGGGAGCUUCAGGGUUCAACAGGUUCGGGCUUGAGAAAAGGCGAGGGAAUAUGCUAGCAUUUCGCCU